CCUGUACCAAGUUAGAAAUAUGGCCAUUGUUGUAUUAUAGUUUGUUUCUGUGUGUGUGUAACAUUUUAACGUUGCGUCGUUUGUUUUCUCUUAUUUUUAGUGUAAAUUCACAUUGCGAUAAUACGUGUCACGGUACUUGUCUAUCUCAAAUGCAUGUAUCUAGUUUUGAUGUUAUAUUUGUUAUUUUCGUGGGAUUUUGACUGAUGCUCGGUCCGUUUCUGUGUGUGUUACAGUUAAGUUUUAUGCCGAUGUUCUCCUCUUAUAUUUAAUGCGUAUCCCUCGGGUUUAGUUUGUUACCCGAUUUUUUUUUAUCCAUUGAUUAAUGCGUUUUGAACAGCGGUAUACUUCUUUUGCCUUUAUUUAUCAGUGAUGUCUUUAAGUAGACGAAACGCGCGUCUGGCGUACUAAAUUAUAAUCCUUUUAUAACUACUGAUACUAAAUAUUGUAAAUCAUAUUAAAAUUUAUUAAUAGUGGGUACUUCAGAUUUGACGUCAUAUUAUAGAUAGUAAACAAUACAUCUACUCAACCAGUU
rnacentral:lncRNA from 1 species